rnacentral:lncRNA from 1 species
AUGGGGUGGACGCAGACCACUUCAGUGAUGCUCAAAAUAUCCAGACUGAACUCAUUUGAGGUGCUGAACAACCAGAGCUGGGGUCUUGUCAUCCAUAUUUGGGUGUGUGUGUGUGUGUGUGUGUGUGCACGCGCGUGGUCUUUCAAACCUUUGAAAAUUGGGGAUAAUUCAAACACAAUCUCAUCAGGAAAACCCUGGAUGAGAUUACCAUUGACAAUCACUCUUCCAAAAUGGUUAAUGGCAGGAAAGGUCACUAAAGUAACUUUUCAAAACCCAGGUAGGAGCCUGCAUGCUUGUUUGCUCUGCCAUGCCAUGGUGGUGAUGAGUGGGGCGAGGCUGCUGCAGAGAGGAGAGAAGAAAGGACAUGGAGCCUGUACCCAGGGAGCCUGUACCCAAGGCGGCAGGAGGGUGGCUGGGGACCUGCCCACCCCUGAGAAGAAAACCCACGGCCUGGAGACAUCUAUUGGAGACUAUCUAUUUUUGCUUUAGAUAAAUGGUGCAUCAUCUAUUACUGUGGACUUCCUUCUAUGAUCGAUUAGUUUGAGGCUGUCAGCGCUGCUUCAAAGCUACCAUGUAUCUUUCACACCCCUCUGCACUAUAAUUUAUAAGCACUGUGGGUUUCAAGAAGAAGAAAAAAAGCAGCCCUCGGUACUUUUAUUAGCCGCUGAAAUGCAUUAGGGUGCACGCGCUUUGAACUGCACGGAAGAAGAUAACCAUGCCUGUAAUUGGAAUAACUCACAUUGGUCCCCUCCCCGCUCCCUUUAAUAACUUCUGCAUUGUUUUAUCCCCAGGAUUUAUCGAUGACCUGCAGUAGCCCUCUCCCAGGCCCCGGCCCACUGGGGUGUUUGUGGGGGAAAGGGCAAUGCACGUGGCCCACUCCCUGACCCGGGCUGCCCCAUAAAUCAGGGUCCGCGUUCGUCUGUGAUGGUGAGCCAGAUGGCAGCUGUUGUUGGAGGAGCUCGACAGGAAUCAAGGCCUGUGAUCUUUCC